rnacentral:rRNA from 1 species
UACGUAGGCAGCAAGCGUUGUUCGGAGUUACUGGGCGUAAAGGGUGCGUAGGCGGCUUUUUAAGUUUGGUGUGAAAUCUCCCGGCUCAACUGGGAGGGUGCGCCGAAUACUGAGAGGCUCGAGUGCGGGAGAGGAAAGUGGAAUUCCUGGUGUAGCGGUGAAAUGCGUAGAUAUCAGGAGGAACACCGGUGGUGUAAACGGCUUUCUGGACCGUAACUGACGCUGAGGCACGAAAGCGUGGGUAGCAAACAGG